UCUGGCGGUACAUUCUGUCCCGGCCCCUUAUAGGGAAUUUACUCUCAGUUGGACCCACCUCCACCCUUACCCCCACCAGAGGGCUGUUCCUGGCAAAGCAGAGCAGCUUCACCAUCAGGCACAGGACAUGCCAGUUUCGAGAGACGUUUAGGAUUUAUGUGCAACCAAUGAAUAAGCCACUCCCGGCAAUCUGAGGGGCAUUUUGUGUGUCCCCAGCACCUGUACAGCCUCACACUUUGAAGGUGUCCAAUCACAUCUGCUGGAGGAACAAGUGGCCCAAUGUUGCAUGGAUCCUCUGGGUCGGUGUCAUCUCUCUGGGUCGGUGUCAUCUGUCCCCUCUCACCAACAGGUACGCUGCUCAGAGCACAGAAGUUACUGGUGACAUACACAUGUCCUUAAAAGGCUAAGAAUGCUGGCUGUGGCAGAGGCAAACUACUAAAUGAAAUGGCGCGUCAGUAGCUCCUCCAGCAGGGCCUGAUUAGCCGUGGGUAAUGUUCACUUGUGAGAGGGGGCAACUCGGCAGGCCUGGGAGCAAGAACUCACACAGAGGGCCUGCCCUGGCCCUCGAAGAACCAUAGACGCCGGGGCAGCAGCCUCUCAGCACCACCCUCAUCUGUGAGGACUCUGGGCCCACCUAACAACCUGCACUCUCUUCCCACUCACCCCUGGCCUUGGUAGGGGGUGAGCCAGGGACAACCCUUCUGCCUGGAGAAGGGGCUCAGGAAGAAGGGUGUCUAGGGUGUCUUAGCUUGAAUUCCCCCAAGAAGCUGACCCUGAGAAAAGAUUCAAGAGCAACUGGAGCUUAACCCUGCAGGGAAGCCACCAGCACUCACAUCAGGGUGCCUCCACCCAGGAGCUAGGGGCCUGGGUUGUUAUGCACUGACUCCUCAGCCUUUGACUGAGAGCUGCUCCCAGGAGAUGUCAUUCCCUCACACUUGCUAGCAACUUUCUAGGGCCAGGAGCUCAGCCUCAGGUGGAGAGGUGCAGGGAGGGCAGGAGGAGGUUUCAGAAGCACUGAAGCAGUCACGCCCAAGGGACAUGGGUGAGACUCCUGGAGGCCAGAGGGGGAUGCCAGUGCAUGUGUGGCUGUCACUGGUCUGAGGAAGCUGGGGUCACCCUCACUAGCAAGAUCCAUUUGAGGAGUGUACCAGGCCCUCCAACCUUUUGAUGGUAGAACCUGUGGGGAGGGGCUGUGCCCCACAAGAGGAAAAGCUACUUGCUAGCUGGGUUGGGGACAGAGGCCCAGGCUAGAGAUGGGCCCAGGUGCAAAUUCUAAGCUGCCAUUGGCAUGAUGGCUCUGCCUAAGCUAUAGAGAUCCCCCUCCCCAUCCCUCCUAGUUUGUCACUUAAGACUAUACUCACCUUUCCCCCAACCUCACCUGUGGCCUUUUCACCAAUCCCACAUUGGAUUGGUGGAAGUGCAGCUACCAGGGCAAACCUGGCGCUGAUGGAUAGCAAGCCACUGGGGCUGCCCCCAAAAUGGUCUCUUGGACCAGUGGGCUGAGCAGGGCUGCCUCAGGGUGCGACCCGGGCCUCCCAGCAGCCUCUGAGGUCCUGGCUGUCAAUGGUCGGGGUAGGACUACAUGACCUCCAGGGGCUCUUCCAGAAUUAAGCAUCGUCUUUGAAACUGUCGGGCAUUUCAUGGUAUGUCAGGCUCUGUGCUAAGUCCUUUCAAUUGUUAUCCUCUUCAAUCCCCACCACACCCUAUGAACUAGGUGACUACUCUCUUCAGUUUGCAGAUAAGGAAACUGAGGCCCCAGAAGUUAAGAAACUAGCCCAAGUUAGAGAGGAAGGGAAUGUCAGAGUUGGGUGUGAGCCCUGGGCGAGGCCUAGGACCUGCCCAGUGGUGAUGUGAGGCUGGACCACAGUGCUGGGGCUGGACCAACCUCUGCGUCCGGGCUGGGACAUGGUUCCAUCGUCCACGCCCCACCUGGCUAUGCACUCCGAGGGACUCCUCUGGGCCGGGCCUGGUCAGCACCUUGUGCCCCAACGCGUGGCCUGGAAUAAGUCAAGCUAUAGUCUCAGUUUGACAUUAGUCUUUUAUUAUAACCAUAUUGAAUGGGGUCGCUUUGCCAAAAGGAGAAAUCAUUUCUUAAUAUGACAGCUUUUACAUCAAAGUGGUCUCAAGCCUGUUUAUACGAACUUUAUAUAUCUUUUUAACAGUAUAAAAAGAGAGCUUUAGUAAGUAACACUGAGAAAGCAGUCUGGCCUUUGAGAAGGAAGCCUGGCUUGCCAGGUGCCAUCCUCAAUGUAUCCGGCCUCUUCUCUCUGCUCCACAGCCUCCCCAGUGCCCCUCCUCCAGACACACAGGGCAGGGGCCAGGGGCCAGGUGUGUGUCCGCAGGAAAGGAGGGAUGGAAUUGGUUGGAGCCGCCACAGAACGGCCACUCUAUGUGGGGACCUAAGUCCUCCGUACACACUCCUGUUCUAUAAUGAACCCUUGGAGCAGUUCCUUAAAAAAAUAAAAUAAAAACAAAAAUAAUGUGCAUCAACUCUGACUCACAGGUUAUUCUUAGGAGGCCAGCAUGACUGCCACAGAGUUUGAUAUUUGUUCAGCAUCUCUGACAAAGUAGAGGAGGCAUUCCUGUUGAGAGCGGGCAACUAACCCCCAACUCCCUGAAGCAGCUUCCUUAGCAACCCCAGGGCUGACAGCACAAGAGUCAACUGGUCAUCUGCAGGCAAGGCAAAUCACAGGGAGGUCCUGGUUUAUUUUUAGAGUCACAUUCUUUCUGCAGUGAUAUUAUUUCUUUCCGGAUUGCAGUUACCUCUGAACAUUAGCAGGAGGUCAGCUUUGGAAGAGUAAUCCAGUGUAACUAAAUGUUUAAUGUGUUAUCUGACCCUGUGGCAUACACUCAAGGUAAGGCAAAGUAAUUAGACUUGCUAGUCUGUAACUCUCACACGUAAUGUACAAAGCUAAAUUUUAACUCAAAUUCCAAUCUGAUCAAAGAGGAAUGCAUGAAACACAUAGGGACACAUAUAAAAACAGGAGAUGAUGAUGAUGGGAAUUAAUCUAAGCUUCAUGUAUACAAAAUGUAUUUAACUGCUAAUAAUCAAAACGUAAGAAGGGUUCCACUGAUUACAUUUGUUAACAAAACACAAUAUAUUCAGGAUUUAAAAAAUGUACAAUUAAACAUAAGUAUCUGAUAAUAUAAUAAAAAGGAGCACAUAUUCUUUAAUAGCACUGUAACUAAUAAAAUUGCAAAUAAUACUCAACUAUGAAGAAUUUAAAAAAACACUUAAAAAACAUAAGGCAGUAAUACAAUUGUCUGAGUAUGAGCCUGUGGGAAUUUGAGGCUGGUACUACCCAUGACCCACUGUCCUUGUAUGUCUCUCUCCUCCAAG
rnacentral:lncRNA from 10 species